AUUAGAUGAGCCUAUAUUAGAUUAGCUAGUUGGUGGAGUAAUAGCCUACCAAGGCAAUGAUCUAUAGCUGAUCUGAGAGGAUGAUCAGCCACACUGGAACUGAGAUACGGUCCAGACUCCUACGGGAGGCAGCAGUGGGGAAUAUUGGACAAUGGGCGAAAGCCUGAUCCAGCCAUGCCGCAUGAGUGAAGAAGGCCUUUGGGUUGUAAAGCUCUUUUAGUGAGGAAGAUAAUGACGGUACUCACAGAAGAAGUCCUGGCUAACUCCGUGCCAGCAGCCGCGGUAAUACGGAGAGGGCUAGCGUUAUUCGGAAUUAUUGGGCGUAAAGGGCGCGUAGGCUGAUUAAUAAGUUAAAAGUGAAAUCCCGAGGCUUAACCUUGGAAUUGCUUUUAAAACUAUUAAUCUAGAGAUUGAAAGAGGAUAGAGGAAUUCCUGAUGUAGAGGUAAAAUUCGUAAAUAUUAGGAGGAACACCAGUGGCGAAGGCGUCUAUCUGGUUCAAAUCUGACGCUGAGGCGCGAAGGCGUGGGGAGCAAACAGGAUUAGAUACCCUGGUAGUCCACGCUAUAAACGAUGAAUGUUAAAUAUGGGAAG
rnacentral:rRNA from 1 species